rnacentral:lncRNA from 1 species
AGAAACAGGCAGCCUGACUAGAGAACAAACUACCAAUUAACGAGCGAGGAAACAGGGCCAGAGAAUUGGAACAAAAUACAAGGCUGCCUCUGAAAGUAAUUUGCAAGCAGAUGGAACUUCAAUAUGGCAAUAGAGAAAGAAUCAAUUAGACCAGAGUCUCCUCAGGAAGACUUUCUAUAGGUGGACGGUCCCCUGGAGAGCCCGCUGUGUUGGAAGAUGUAGAAUAUUCAUAUAUCUGGUGAGCAUCUGCUAGAUGCCAGGGUUGGGGAGAGUCAAGUUGAAGCAAGCAUGAACCCUCAAGGACCUACCAUUUCAAGGCAAGAAAUAGAUACAAAUACAGGGGUACAAGCUGGAAAAGGGGAAAAUGAAUCAUGCUACAGGCCAAGUGUCCAUCACUGAUUCCCAGAGAUGCCCUUUGUGUGGUAGGCACUUCCAUGUGGACUCGCUACAGAGUUUGGAGUUCCUGAACAACAUGGACAGUGUUAAUUUGGAUUCCAUGCUUCAUGGCACAGAAUUGGAGCACUAACUACUCAGUGAUGACUUUCUCUUCCUCUAGCUAAGGUGAUCAACAAGUUUCCUUGUUCUUUCUCCAAGUAGUAGAAGAAAGUAAAGGUCAUAAGACCCUAAUUCCAGAGGGCCCUACCCUAUAACCAGAAGGAAGAACUAUUGCACAGAGAAUCUAAGAAGAAUCUAGACAGACAGCCCUUGCUGGAUUUCUCCACUCUGUUAGCAUUCGAUCAUUUGCCUUUUGUCCAGUCAUAUUUCUGCAUGGCUGUCCAUACUUUGUUGAACCUAAGCACAAAAUGGAAAGUUUUCCCUGUAUCUUUGGGUCGUCAUUCUGAAGGCUCCCAUGUUAUGUAAAACUAUGAUCAAAUAAAUAUGCAUGCCUUUUCUCCUAUAA